rnacentral:misc_RNA from 1 species
AAGAGUUAGGGUCUUCAUGGCCCGACCUCCCAACCCUGUGUUUAUUAAACCCCUUUUUUGCCUCGGCGUGCCGGUCUUCACCGACCACCAGGGGACCUUGACCGGUCCCCCGGCUCGCGCCCGCCGCUGGCCCUUUACCUAAAACUCUUGAAUAACCGUGUCAUUGUCUCAGUCCUUUGAUUAAAUCAAAAACA